CGAAUGCUGACAUAAGUAACGAUAAAGCGGGUGAAAAGCCCGCUCGCCGGAAGACCAAGGGUUCCUGUCCAACGUUAAUCGGGGCAGGGUGAGUCGACCCCUAAGGCGAGGCCGAAAGGCGUAGUCGAUGGGAAACAGGUUAAUAUUCCUGUACUUGGUGUUACUGCGAAGGGGGGACGGAGAAGGCUAUGUUGGCCGGGCGACGGUUGUCCCGGUUUAAGCGUGUAGGCUGGUUUUCCAGGCAAAUCCGGAAAAUCAAGGCUGAGGCGUGAUGACGAGGCACUACGGUGCUGAAGCAACAAAUGCCCUGCUUCCAGGAAAAGCCUCUAAGCAUCAGGUAACAUCAAAUCGUACCCCAAACCGACACAGGUGGUCAGGUAGAGAAUACCAAGGCGCUUGAGAGAACUCGGGUGAAGGAACUAGGCAAAAUGGUGCCGUAACUUCGGGAGAAGGCACGCUGAUAUGUAGGUGAAGCGACUUGCUCGUGGAGCUGAAAUCAGUCGAAGAUACCAGCUGGCUGCAACUGUUUAUUAAAAACACAGCACUGUGCAAACACGAAAGUGGACGUAUACGGUGUGACGCCUGCC
rnacentral:rRNA from 1 species